AAUGAACGUUGGCGGCAUGGAUUAGGCAUGCAAGUCGAGCGAGAAGUGUAGCAAUACACGGAAAGCGGCGGAAGGGAGAGUAAUACGUGGGAAUCUGCCCUUAGACCUGGGAUAGCAGCGGGAAACUGCUGGUAAUACCAGAUAAUGUCUAUGGACCAAAGGUGUGAUUCCGUCUAGGGAUGAGCCCACGUCCUAUUAGCUAGUUGGUAGGGUAAUGGCCUACCAAGGCGAUGAUGGGUAGCGGGUGUGAGAGCACGACCCGCAUCACUGGGACUGAGACACUGCCCAGACACCUACGGGUGGCUGCAGUCGAGGAUCUUCGGCAAUGGGCGAAAGCCUGACCGAGCGACGCCGCGUGCGGGAUGAAGGCCUUCGGGUUGUAAACCGCUGUCAGUGGGGAGGAAAUACUGGUGGGAACACCCUCCAGUUUGACCUAUCCGCAGAGGAAGGACGGGCUAAGUUCGUGCCAGCAGCCGCGGUAAGAC
rnacentral:rRNA from 1 species